rnacentral:misc_RNA from 1 species
AUGGAUCAUUAAAAGUAUUUAUACUUCUACACAAGUGAACUCUUUCUAACCUGAGAUUUUGGGGAUUCAAGACGCCUCGGGCGACUUGUUUCUUUCUAUCUCCUUUUAACUAUUCUAACUCUUUGCAUCUAUUGAAUCGAUAAGUUCACCGAAAGGUGCACUUAAUUUCUAUGUAAUUUCUGAACAACUCUUAACAACGGAUAUCUUGGCUCCC